rnacentral:rRNA from 1 species
CCUACGGGAGGCAGCAGUGAGGAAUAUUGGUCAAUGGGCGAGAGCCUGAACCAGCCAAGUCGCGUGAGGGAGUACUGCCCUAUGGGUUGUAAACCUCUUUUGUCGGGGAGCAAAAGCCGGACGUGUCCGGCUGUGAGAGUACCCGAAGAAAAAGCAUCGGCUAACUCCGUGCCAGCAGCCGCGGUAAUACGGAGGAUGCGAGCGUUAUCCGGAUUUAUUGGGGUUAAAGGGUGCGCAGGCGGAUUUUUAAGUCAGCGGUCAAAUCGUGGGGCUCAACCCCAUCCAGCCGUUGAAACUGGGGAUCUAGAGUGUGCGAGAGGUAUGCGGAAUGCGUGGUGUAGCGGUGAAAUGCAUAGAUAUCACGCAGAACUCCGAUUGCGAAGGCAGCAUACCGGCGCCCAACUGACGCUGAAGCACGAAAGCGUGGGUAUCGAACAGGAUUAGAUACCCCUGUAGUC